GCAUGGUUCAAAUCCUUAUUUCUUUUGUAUUUGAUUCUCUAAAGAGAUUUUUUUUUAAAAGAUAAAGGCCCUCUGUCUUUUCAAGGAUUAUUAUAAUGUACAUAACACAUUGAUAUUUCAGAUACCUGGUCACAUCAGAUGAACUGAGGAGAGGAGGUGCUCUCCCCCAGAGUUACUCACCAAACACUGUAGUGGCUUAUCGACGGAAGGCCAAGGGACAAAAAAAGAAAAUUAUAGAGAAGUUGGCGGAGUUGGCGGUGAACCCCAAACUUUGUGAAGAUGAAUGCAAGGAUCUGUCUGGGGACAUAAAUUACCUGGCAACAAAAUACAUCCCCCAGAAAAGAGUGGGUCAAGCCUUGUUAAGCCCCGGGUAUACUUCAGCCGUCUGCGUUCAUGCACCGUCCGCAUGACAUAAUUUUCGUCAUGCGGAGGGCUCGCGGCCGGCCGCACACCCCGUCCGCGUGCAGCCCAAAUUUCGAGACCGUGCGGACGGUGCGCGUGCAACAGCGCAAGCGCAAGCAGGACAGAAGAGUCCACUAGGUGGCAAUACGCACAGUACUGAGCACAAUGUGCAGUCGUCGAAGAAGAGUGUGUAAAGAGCAACUCAAAAACAAGACGAGUAAACUCAAAAGCAUGCCUUCUCCAUCGUUUUUGAUUCCUGUUCUCUUGGUGUAUCUUCUGAACUAUGCUGCAAUGGUGGCUGCACUAUUUUUCUUCUCCGAUCCUGCCCAGCGAAUAUCCAUGACACAAUGUCUGAUAAUAGUAUAGAAAAAAUUGCACUGCGCAUAUGUCGAACUCGGUCAUCUGUGCGCAUCCUUGGUUUAGUAUACUUUGAAAGAUGCGCGGACGCGACUGCGUGUGACAUGUCCGGGCGCGGAAAGUGGAGUAUACCCGGGGCUUUAGGAGAGGGGAAUGUCCAUGCAGCUAUGGCCAAAACAGAAGACUGCAAGAAGAUCUUGAAAGGUGUAAAGGCUGCUCUAGAGAAUAACUGGGAAACAUUUGACCUGGCAAUACAUGGUCUUGGUCCUGCUGUUAUAAAGGGCACUUUUUCAUUAAUUGAUGCAUGUCUUAAGGAAAAGAUG